AUGAUUCUCAUCAUAUUAGAAUUAUAAUGUCAUUGUUGGCACCUUUGAAUGUGGAGCGGGCAGCGUGUGUCGCUGUCAUUGGUUGGAAAGAGGUGUAAAUACGGGUUGUAUUCCAGUUACUGUAUAAUUGUUAUUGGCAUAUAUGACAAGAAUUGUAAUUAUUAUUGAGAUACAUAUAUUGUUUUCUUACUUAUUAACAAGUUUGGUAUUGGUUAGUAAUGUGUAUUUGUUUGUCAAGAGGAAGUUUUCUUUUAGGGUCUGUGUAUGUAACACGGAUAUUAUUAUACCGCACUCAGGUUGUAGGGGGAAGGUAGACAGAGGUACAGUUGGUGCCUGUCAGGGGUGAGUGGCGGUUGUUUGACUGAGGUGAGUUUUGUGAUAACAUUAUUUCUCUGAUUUGUUUGACUUAUGUUAUGCCGCUGAUUGUGCAUAUUGGUUGGUGUUAUAUUGAAUGCGGUGCUGAUAGGAGGAUUUGAUUAAGUGUAACUUUGCAGCAUAGUUGGGGUAAUGCUGUAAUCAGACAUAUGGUGAAGUCUGCCUUGGCUGAUGAUGGGCGGUCAUUUUGUGAGUACUAUUUUAUAUGUAUCGUGUGUCAUUGCAAUAGUGAAUAAUAGAAUGGGAUAUGUGUUCAUCUUAUGUUAUUCUUCUGUUUACUGGGUGAAGUUACAAGAUAUUGAAGGGAGUUACAUGAUAUUGAGGUAUGCUGUGUUUAUGUUGACAUUAAAUUUGCAGGCUGAAUCAAUCAAUAAAUCAAGAUACAGCAAGUCAGCCCAAUCAUAGUCAUUAUCCUACACUACAAUUCAGCAAAAUUCGCAGAGCAGCCAUGGAUGACUUGAAAAGGGAACGUGCUAAUGCCAAGAGGAGAUUCACCAGGAAGGUGGGACUCUUCAAGGAUGCACACAAGAGAGGAGACUCCACAGCAACCCUACAAGUUGUAGGGGGAAGGUAGACAGAGGUACAGUUGGUGCCUGUCAGGGGUGAGUGGCGGUUGUUUGACUGAGGUGAGUUUUGUGAUAACAUUAUUUCUCUGAUUUGUUUGACUUAUGUUAUGCCGCUGAUUGUGCAUAUUGGUUGGUGUUAUAUUGAAUGCGGUGCUGAUAGGAGGAUUUGAUUAAGUGUAACUUUGCAGCAUAGUUGGGGUAAUGCUGUAAUCAGACAUAUGGUGAAGUCUGCCUUGGCUGAUGAUGGGCGGUCAUUUUGUGAGUACUAUUUUAUAUGUAUCGUGUGUCAUUGCAAUAGUGAAUAAUAGAAUGGGAUAUGUGUUCAUCUUAUGUUAUUCUUCUGUUUACUGGGUGAAGUUACAAGAUAUUGAAGGGAGUUACAUGAUAUUGAGGUAUGCUGUGUUUAUGUUGACAUUAAAUUUGCAGGCUGAAUCAAUCAAUAAAUCAAGAUACAGCAAGUCAG